AAUAUAUUGAUAAACAUUCGUAAUAAUAAUAAUAAUAAUAAUCCAUUUUAAAUAUAUCUUGUUCUAAAAUAAGAUUUAAUUGUCUAUAUUAAUGUUAUUUAACUAUAUUAUGUGGAAAUCGACAAUGUGGAAUUUAUAAUGGUCUAAUCUCGUGAUUUGUCUUGUAAAAACAAAUUCUAUGACGCAGUGUUUAAAGAAUCAUGUGGAUAAAGAAAAUUCAUCAAUUCCGAAGCACACGUAACCUUAUUACGGACACGAUUGCCUUAAUUUUUUUCUGUAGAAGAUAAAAUCGAGAUAAAGGUCGAAAGAUCCGUGGAUUUGUUCAAUUGUCAUUAAUAAAUGCAAAAAUUUGUAAUGUAAUGUCAUCUCGUGUUUCAUUAGAAUCCAUUGCAUGCAUAGAAUCCAUAGAAUGCAUUGUAUUUUCUUGUAAAAGUGGUGAAGAAAGUUUUGACUCUGGUGUUCUUAAAUGUCGUGAAAAAAUUCAUCCAAUAUGCCUGUCUGACACUGCACACUGUCAGAAUACACAGGCAGCCUUAAAAUGUUAUGCAGAAGCAUGACUUUACAGCUAUUCUAUUCUAUCAUUUUUAAAUAUACAAGAAGAAGAAUUUAGUUGUGAAUAUUAAUUUAGAUGAAAAUGAUUUAAGUAUAUCAAAAGAACAUUAAUAUCAAUGUAUCAUGUAACAAGAUGAACGAGAUAAAAUAGUAAGUAUUGGUAAGAAGAUUGAUAUGAAAUAUAUGAUAAAAAAAAUGCUUUCCAAUAAAGACUCUCCAAUAUUUUUAAUUAAUUUUAUAGUUAUUAUUGAAUUAGUUAAAUUAAUUAUUUGACUUUAUCAAUGAACUUUAUCAAUUUGAUUAUCAGCAAAUUUAAUUUCAGGACAUUUAAUUUUAACAUUAUUAGGUAUUUUUAUUAGAAAUUUUAUUGCAAUAAUUCCAAUUAAUUUAUUAAUUCAAAAUACAUUAUUAACUUUAGAAAUUUUUAUAUCAAUUAUUCAAUGAUAUGUAUUUUCAAUUUUCUUAAUUUUAUAU